UCCGGCUCUUCGCCCAGGGGCACGUCCUGCUGUUCAUGCCCUCCCUCGUCUCGGCCCCCUGCUUCCUCCUCCUCUUCCAGCUGCUGUUGCAAAGUCUGGGGGUUGAGGGGCCCGCUACCAUAAACACUAUUAAUCACUGCUGCAGGGAAGGCGCUGGCUCCAGGCACCAAAAGAAGACAUUGUUUAUGAGUUCUCUGGAAGCCAUGGAAGAAGAGCCCAAAAGUUUUAAAGGCUAAGGAUUUUAGUCCUUACUUCAUAUAUACAUCCCUGGGCAGCACCAGAUGGGAGUAGAGGCCCUGGAAACCCUUCCUGAGUGGCUGACUGUGGAACCCAAAGACAUCCAGUUGAGGGCCUUGUGCGGAUCUCCACUUGAGGGCCUUGUGAGAAUCUCGCGCUGUCGGUCAUGGUGAGGAAGCCAAGCCUGCGCACACGGUGACCACAUACAGAUGUUUGCAGCAUCUGCAGCUGUGGCUCCUCUGCGCCAGGUCCUCCUCCUCCAGGGCUUUCCCCCUGCGCCUUGGCACGGCCACCUGCAAACCACUUGCUGGACACAGAGCACAUGGUAGGUGGCUGAGCCUGCGGUCCCGGGCCCUCGAGCGGGCGGCUGCUGGCCCUUGAGAAGGCUACCGGCAAAGGAUGGCGGGAAAAGUGGCUGCUGCAGCUUCUCCAGCACCCCCACAUGGUGCGUAGGACACCAACAUGUGAAAACCGUGAGUAGAGGAGAGUGAGGAGCAUGUUGAAAGACGUGUGAGGAUGUGGGAGAUAGACCUGCAGAUUCCAAAGGGCCUACUGGACUGGGUUAGAAGG